rnacentral:misc_RNA from 1 species
AAGUCGUAACAAGGUUUCCGUAGGUGAACCUGCGGAAGGAUCAUUAAUGAUUUUUUAAGCAAACCAAGCUUUUUUUUAUAAAAAGUGAGGUUUUGCGAAUGUAUUUAAAACCCCCACUCUUUUAAAAAAUAUAUAAUAUAUCAUUCAUAUAUAAAAUGAAUAAAAAAAAAGAUCACUUUCAACAACGGAUCUCUUGGCUCUC